UACGAAGGGGGGCUAGCGUUGCUCGGAAUGACUGGGCGUAAAGGGCGCGUAGGCGGAUGGCACAGUCAGAUGUGAAAUUCCCGGGCUUAACCUGGGGGCUGCAUUUGAUACGUGUGAUCUAGAGUGAGGAAGAGGGUCGUGGAAUUCCCAGUGUAGAGGUGAAAUUCGUAGAUAUUGGGAAGAACACCGGUGGCGAAGGCGGCGACCUGGUCCUUGACUGACGCUGGAGGCGCGAAAGCCGUGGGGAGCAAACAGG
rnacentral:rRNA from 1 species